GACACAUGCUGAGUUCUGUGGAAAGAAAGCUGGAGGAAAAUGCCAAAGAGACAGGCGGAUAAGGGAGAGGAGGUGUGAAAGAAAGAAAACAUCCAUCCUCAGACACAGCCACCACAUCAUCAUGUUUCAUUUAGACUGGUUUGGGAUGAACGAGAAGCUAAACAACUCCCACAUAGGCUGACUAAGGGCUCCUGGACCUUAGUCUUGGAGAGGGGAAUCACAGACUGAUUCUCACCCAGGCCAUCCAGAAGGAGGAAUGAAGCGGGAUGCUGAUGGAGACAACAGUCCAGAAUGCACUGGAGAAUGCUGCAGGGAAAGUUGGCUUGGGCUGUAAUCCCCUCCCACUGAUGGCCAUGUGAUUCUCCACUUUCAGAUUCAUCAUGUCUCAAAGGCCCAAGGUUCAUCUGACCACAACCUUCUAUUUGUGUCAAAGGUAGCUUCUUUAACCACAGGGAACGUCUCAAUGGAUCUUUAGCUUUGUUCAGUUCUUGUAUACAUUAGCUCACCUGACUCUCACAAAACCUAGGAAGGAUUACUAGUCCUCUGUUUCCACCAAACUUUCAAUGGCAUAUGAUGAACUUGUCCUGGAGAAGAAAAGGAAGACCUGGAGAAAUUGCAACCAACCAUAGCAUGACUAUAAACUCAUUUUCCAGCGCUCCUUUCAGUGAAGCAGAGCCCAAGAUUGAAAGCACAAUCCGGACAGAAGUUCAUUAGCACAUCCAGAACUGUUCUGUGAAAACUCUCGCCUGAUUUUCCAUUCUGUCUCCAGCUGUCAGCUGUGUGUUGACAAUACAACAGAGGAUUCCAGGACCCUGGAUUUGGGAGAUCUACAAGUGGAAAGACACUGGGUCCCGAAUCACUGUGUGAAAGGCUACCUGCCAAAUCCCCACACUGAAAAUCAUUUGAGUGAGUAAAUAAAACUAUUUUA